GUGGGGAAUCUUCCGCAAUGGACGAAAGUCUGACGGAGCAACGCCGCGUGAGUGAAGAAGGUUUUCGGAUCGUAAAGCUCUUUCGUUAGGGACGAACGUGCUCUUUGUGAAUAAUGAGGAGUAAUGACGGUACCUAAAUAAGAAGCCACGGCUAACUACGUGCCAGCAGCCGCGGUAAUACGUAGGUGGCAAGCGUUGUCCGGAAUUAUUGGGCGUAAAGCGCGCGCAGGCGGGAUAUCAAGUCUGUCUUAAAAGUGCGAGGCUCAACCUCGUGAGGGGACAGAAACUGGUAUUCUUUAGUGUCGGAGAGGAAAGUGGAAUUCCAAGUGUAGCGGUGAAAUGCGUAGAGAUUUGGAAGAACACCAGUGGCGAAGGCGACUUUCUGGACGAUGUCUGACGCUGAGGCGCGAAAGCUAGGGGAGCGAACGGGAUUAGAAACCCCGGUAGUCC
rnacentral:rRNA from 1 species